rnacentral:rRNA from 1 species
AAACUAACAAGGAUUCCCCUAGUAACGGCGAGUGAAGAGGGAAGAGCCCAAGAUUGAAAGCUGGCGCCUUCGGCGUCCGCAUUGUAAUCUCAAGAAGUGUUUUCCGCUUCGGACCAUGCCUAAGUCCCUUGGAAAAGGGCAUCAUAGAGGGUGAUAAUCCCGUACAUGGCAUGGAGCGCCCGAAGCUUUGUGAUACGCUUUCUAAGAGUCGAGUUGUUUGGGAAUGCAGCUCAAAAUGGGUGGUAAAUGCCAUCUAAGGCUAAAUAUUGGGGAGAGACCGAUAGCGAACAAGUACAGUGAUGGAAAGAUGAAAAGAACUUUGAAAAGAGAGUUAAACAGUACGUGAAAUUGCCAAAAGGGAAGGGUAGGAGGUCAGAGAUGCGUCGCAGGAUUCAACCUUGCUUUUGCUUGGUGUUUUUCCUGCGUUGCAGGCCAACGUCGGUUUUGGGCACUGGAGAAGGGUAGGAGGAACGUGGCACCUCUCGGGGUGUGUUAUAGCCUCCUACUGGAUACAGCGACCGAGACCGAGGAACGCAGCGUACUCGUAAGAGCGGGCCUUUUGGCACCUUUACGCUUAGGGCGUUGGCAUAAUGGCCCUCUACCAC